GACGAACGCUGGCGGCGUGCUUAACACAUGCAAGUCGAACGAAGUGGCGAACGGGUGAGUAACGCGUAAUCAACCUGCCCUUCAGAGGGGGACAACAGUUGGAAACGACUGCUAAUACCGCAUACUGAAGGAGGGGAUUGCGUCUGAUUAGCUAGUUGGAGGGGUAACGGCCCACCAAGGCGAUGAUCAGUAGCCGGUCUGAGAGGGUGAACAGCCAACAUGGGACUGUGACACGGCACAGACUCCUACGGGAGGCAGACGUGGGGAAUCUUCCGACAUAGACGAAAGUCUGACGGAGCAACGCCGCGUGAGUGAUGACGGCCUUCGGGUUGUAAAGCUCUGUUAAUCGGGACGCGUUACCGGAAUAGAAAGCAACGGCUAACUACGUGCCAGCAGCCGCGGUAAUAC
rnacentral:rRNA from 1 species